GAUGAACGCUAGCUACAGGCUUAACACAUGCAAGUCGAGGGGAAACGAUAUUGGAAGCUUGCUUCCGAUAGGCGUCGACCGGCGCACGGGUGAGUAACGCGUAUCCAACCUGCCCAUCACUUGGGGAUAACCUUGCGAAAGUAAGACUAAUACCCAAUGACGUCUCUAGAAGACAUCUGAAGGAGAUUAAAGAUUUAUCGGUGAUGGAUGGGGAUGCGUCUGAUUAGCUUGUUGGCGGGGUAACGGCCUACCAAGGCGACGAUCAGUAGGGGUUCUGAGAGGAAGGUCCCCCACAUUGGAACUGAGACACGGUCCAAACUCCUACGGGAGGCAGCAGUGAGGAAUAUUGGUCAAUGGGCGAGAGCCUGAACCAGCCAAGUAGCGUGCAGGAAGACGGCCCUAUGGGUUGUAAACUGCUUUUAUAAGGGAAUAAAGUGGGAGUCGUGACUCCUUUUGCAUGUACCUUAUGAAUAAGGACCGGCUAAUUCCGUGCCAGCAGCCGCCGCAG
rnacentral:rRNA from 1 species